rnacentral:lncRNA from 1 species
AACAUCUUAAGCUUUCACUAUGAAGAACAACAGUAAUAUUCUUUUACGGGUUAUACAGAAACUACCAAGAAUCUGUGUAUCAGCGCUGUGUUUGAGUGUUUCAACUUACCAAAACAAUUCAUACUAUUCUAUCAUCAAUAAUUGUAUAUAGACGUAACGAGCGUUUAGAGAAGAAAAUUUCAAUCCUGGUAUCUAUGAUGAGUUUAUCUAGAUCUAUAACCCAUAUUUAUAUCAAUUGUAGUUUGAAACAGAAAUACUUAGCACAACUUGUCAUUUGCAAAUACUACAGUGAAAAUUGAACUUAACAG